rnacentral:rRNA from 1 species
UACGUAGGGUGCAAGCGUUAAUCGGAAUUACUGGGCGUAAAGCGUGCGCAGGCGGUUGUGUAAGACAGAUGUGAAAUCCCCGGGCUCAACCUGGGAACUGCAUUUGUGACUGCACAGCUGGAGUGCGGCAGAGGGGGAUGGAAUUCCGCGUGUAGCAGUGAAAUGCGUAGAUAUGCGGAGGAACACCUGUGGUGUAGACAGCUUACUGGACCACUUCUGACGCUGAGACACGAAAGCGUGGGUAGCAAACAGG